rnacentral:rRNA from 1 species
GACGUAGGGCGCGAGCGUUGUCCGGAUUAUUGGCGUAAAGAGCUCGUAGGCGGCUUGUCGCGUCGUCCGUGAAAACCUGCGGCUCAACUGCAGGCUGGCGGUCGAUACGGGCAGGCUGGAGUUCGGUAGGGGAGACUGGAAUUCCUGGUGUAGCGGUGAAAUGCGCAGAUAUCAGGAAGAACACCCGUGGCGAAGGCGGCUCUCUGGGACGGUACUGACGCUGAGACGCGAAAGCGUGGGGAGCGAACAGG